AUUAUUACAUCUGUAACUUUCUAAAGCUUGUAUCUUUAAUAUAAAUAUUACAUGUUUAACAAGUCUGACCAAAAUAUAUGAUUUUGUAACUAGAGGAUUGAGGGGUAACAAAUUGGAAGGAGAGCUCUCGCCCAACAUCUGUCAGCUAACGAGCCUGUGGUAUUUGUAAGUAGUGUUGUAUAUAGCUUUGACUUUUGUAUAUAGAUCUUUUGGUUUUGGGCAUAUCUUAGAUCUCUCCAAGGAAAUCAAUUCUCGGGUGAAAUUCCGUCUGUGAUUGGACUCGUGCAGGCACUUACGGUUUUGGACCUGAGUUGCAAUAAUUUGACCGGUCAAAUUCCUCCGAUCCUUGGAAACUUGACUUAUACCGAAAAAUUGUAUCUCCAUAACACAAGUUGACAGGAUCGAUUCCUCCUGAGCUCGGGAAUAUGUCAAAGCUCCAUUACCUGUAUACGCGCUUACGUGCUUAUUGUCAGUCUUAGAAUAUUAUAU